rnacentral:misc_RNA from 1 species
UCUCCGUAGGUGAACCUGCGGAAGGAUCAUCAUAGGAAAAAAUUAUUUUUUCUAUAGACUUACACCCCUUUGUGCUCCUUGUUCGAAGUCUGUAACAGGGCCUCGUUCAACCUUUUUAAAAAACAACCUUUUAAACAUUUUAAUUUAAAUACACCUUUAUAAAUAACCAAAAGACAACUUUUAACAACGGAUCUCUUGGCUCUC